CAGCAGCCGCGGUAAUACGGAGGGUGCAAGCGUUAAUCGGAAUUACUGGGCGUAAAGCGCACGCAGGCGGUCUGUCAAGUCAGAUGUGAAAUCCCCGGGCUUAACCUGGGAACUGCAUUUGAAACUGGCAGGCUAGAGUCUUGUAGAGGGGGGUAGAAUUCCAGGUGUAGCGGUGAAAUGCGUAGAGAUCUGGAGGAAUACCGGUGGCGAAGGCGGCCCCCUGGACAAAGACUGACGCUCAGGUGCGAAAGCGUGGGAGCAAACAGGAUUAGAUACCCGCGUAGUCCCUGUCUCUUAUACA
rnacentral:rRNA from 1 species